rnacentral:lncRNA from 1 species
AAUCGUGAGUCUAACUUGCGUUCAAAGGUUUUCUUGACUACUGGACACGUUUGCAUCGGUCGCCGGGUGGAGACUUGUUCUUAAUAAACAGUUUCGAGGAUCGAGGCCCAUCAGUCAGUCUGCUGUUUCCAGGUCCUGGCGGCCCAAGGAGGGAAGACCAACAUGCUGACUAAGUAGCCAGCAUCCCUCCCUACUCAGCCCUCUGAGUGGCUUCUGACACCUGGUACAGCACAAAAAGAAAACCCCUUCAGGGGCUAACGGUCCUCUCAUUGUUUUUUCUUACAGGGUCUGUGUUUACGUGCCUAACAGUAGCUCUGGGAUUUUACCGCCUGUGGAUAUAAUAAAGUGUCUAUUUAAAGAAACCCCCAUUGUUUUGCCAUAAGAGUACCAGAUUGCUGUCCCACCCACCCAACUCCCCCUUUUUUUCUCUUUUCUCGGUUUUUUUAGUCCUAAUUUGACUUCGUGUGUAUUAUUUAUUUCUGUGCAAACUGUGGAUCCAUAACCAAGGUGAAGAAAGUCGGGAUUUCUGUAAUCAUUGUUCGGAGCAACUCUGUUUAGUUGGCUUUCGGCUGAGCAGUGUGGAUGGGCCACGCUUUCAAGACUCCUUUCAGCCAAACCAAUGGACUUAGUCUCUCCUGCAGUAUUUGACAAAACUAAGUAGAGCUUUAAGUAGUUUGUAAUGUGGAGAACAUGAGAACGCGUUUUGGAAACAAGGUAGCUUUAAAUCUGAAGAAUCAUUGGAAUUCAACCCAGAAUACCAGCCCUUCUGUGCCUUUGCUACAGAUAGCCCCUCCGCCGCAGUGUUAGUGUUGCAGCUACCCUGGUACACCUCAGGGGCCUUUGUCUCUGGGUUCUCAUUGUCUUAGCAACAUUGUUAAUGUGCCUUGCAACUGGAAGUCUAGGU